rnacentral:tRNA from 2 species
GCCUCCUUAGCUCAGUGGUAGAGCAACGCUCUUGUAAAGCGUAGGUCGUCGGUUCAAUCCCGACAGGGGGCU